AACAGGCGUAAUGAUCGUCCUCGCAACUUCGAUAGAAGCAGAAACUUUGAGAGGAGAAGAGAGAACAUGUCAGGUGGCCCUCCUCCCCAACGUACUCCCAUGGGAGGCCCUCCUCCUCCACCUCACAUGGGUGGCGCUGCACCUCCUCCACCUCACAUGGGGCAGAACUACGGGGGACCACCAUCAUUGCAGAACAACAUGGGAGGACAAAGGCCUCCGCCAAACUAUGGAGGAGCACCACCACAGAACAACAUGGCAGGACAGCGGCCACCUGCAAACUAUGGAGGAGCACCACCACCAAACUAUGGAGGAGGACCACCACCUAACUACGGAGGAGCGCCACCACAGAACAACAUGG
rnacentral:lncRNA from 1 species